CCAUACUUGGCUUCUUAAGGAAGCAGCCCCUGGGAUAUAUGAAACCCCGUCUCAAGGAAAAGCUGUCUCAGUGCUGGGGUCGGUACCAGUGUCUGCUGUUGUGGGUCCCUGGAUGAUGUGACUCUCCUUGACUUUGCCUCUUAGGUUCUGCAUCUGUACCGCCCCAUGCCUGGUGUCUAGAAUGGCCUGAUGCUCCAUGAAGAGGGACGCGGCUGAGGGAGAGGAGAGUGUCGACAUCACAUUCAAAUUUAGAAAGUGUUUGGAAGGAACAGUCUAAAAAUGCUUGCCUGGAAGGGGAAAAAUGCUCUGACAAAAAGCAAAAACGAGGCAUACUGGACCCUUGCUCCAUUUAGACAUCAGAGAUUGUUUGAGAUUUCCCCAAGGAUUGCACAGCAAGCACUUUACCAACAGAGGGACCGCCCGAGCUACAGAGACUCUCUCUCUUCAGUCUGCUUAGAGUUGGCCACAUGUGCAUGAAAGGAAAGGCGCCAAAAGAGUAAGCAGAGCGCUGGGGAGCGGCUCCAGUCAGAAGAGUGGAUUCCAGUCAGAAGAGCGCUUGCUUAUAUUUGAUUUUGCAGAACUCACAUUAAAAAGCUGCGUGUGGUGGUGCAAGUACUUGUAAUCUCAGAGCUGGGAAAGCCGAAACGCACAGCUAGACAGUCUCGGCAUAGCAAAAGGCUCAAGCGAAAGACGCUGUCUCAAAAACAACAAAAAAAAGUGAGGCUGCCGAGGUGCUCGUGGAUGACGGCAUUUGCAGAUAAGCAUGACGUCAUGGAUUUGAUCUCUGGAACGCACCAAGUGGAACAAGAGCACCAACGCCCUUGAGCUGUCCUCUGACAUCACAGUGGGUUGAGCAUUUCCCCGUUCCCACACAACAAACAAAUACAUGUAAUUUAAAAAAGAAAAAGAAAACAAGCUGGAAAGCAACUAAGGAACAACAUUGGAGGUAGAUGACUGGUUUCCAGAGAUGGACGCACAUACCCACGCACGCACGCAUACACGCACGCACACAGGCGCACGCAGCACGCACAGAAAGAUUGACAAGCAGCUUCAUGCUCCUCCUGCCAGUCUCUUGGAUAAGGGCAGGCUGGUGCUAGGCAGGCGGUGGUGUUAGGUCCCGUCCAACCUACGAGUCCUGGACCAUAAUGGAGGGGCUUUUAGAUUCUGGAAAUAACCAGAAAGUCGUGUUAUCCACUAAAUAGAUUGUUAAAGAUUGUGAACAGGAGAUUUUAUAUUGAUCCUCAAAACGACGACACAGCACGGGGCAGAGAAGGACAGAAUCUUUUCAUGCUUGUACCUCA
rnacentral:lncRNA from 1 species